rnacentral:rRNA from 1 species
AUUGAACGCUGGCGGCAGGCCUAACACAUGCAAGUCGAACGGUGACAGGAAGAAGCUUGCUUCUUUGCUGACGAGUGGCGGACGGGUGAGUAAUGUCUGGGAAACUGCCUGAUGGAGGGGGAUAACUACUGGAAACGGUAGCUAAUACCGCAUAACGUCGCAAGACCAAAGAGGGGGACCUUCGGGCCUCUUGCCAUCGGAUGUGCCCAGAUGGGAUUAGCUAGUAGGUGGGGUAACGGCUCACCUAGGCGACGAUCCCUAGCUGGUCUGAGAGGAUGACCAGCCACACUGGAACUGAGACACGGUCCAGACUCCUACGGGAGGCAGCAGUGGGGAAUAUUGCACAAUGGGCGCAAGCCUGAUGCAGCCAUGCCGCGUGUAUGAAGAAGGCCUUCGGGUUGUAAAGUACUUUCAGCGGGGAGGAAGGGAGUAAAGUUAAUACCUUUGCUCAUUGACGUUACCCGCAGAAGAAGCACCGGCUAACCCCGUG